GGCAGCUCUUCCCUACUCCAGGUAAUGGGGGCUCUGAGCAGUGUCCAUCCCAGAGCUGCUACCCCACAGCCUGCACGGAUCCCUGCUCUCCCAGGGAGACUGCCAGGGCUGAACUUGGCCUCUGAUGGUCCCAGUUGUCUCUGCUCUGUUUCAGGCCUGCUGCUCUGUGUCUUGGCUCUGCAAUUCUGCACCCAGGGCCCUCUUGCCAUAGCAGGGCGCAAAGUGGUCAACAUGUCCAUAGUCACCACCCAUGCCUCGGUGGCUGCCACCAGUGCCUCAAUGUCCACAACCAACCAGGCAUCCAUGGCCACCAACCAGACCUCAGUGGCCACCAACCAGACCUUAGUGACCACCUACGACCAGGCAUUGGUGGCCACCAACCAGACCUCAGUGGCCACCUCCAACCAGGCAUCAGUAGCCACCAAUCAGGCCUCAGUGUCUGCCACCAGUGCCUCGGUAGCCACCUCCAAUCAGGCAUGGGUGGCCACCAACCAGACCUCAGUGGCUACCGCCAGUGCCUCAAUGGCUGCCUCCAACCACACCUCAGUGACCACCACCACCACUUGGGUGUCCAUCAGCCAGGCUUCAGUGGCUGCCAACGCCUCCAUGAACCAUACAGAACAAACCCCGGUAAGGAGAGGGAAGGGGGAUGCUGGCCAUGCAGAAGCUCUGCUGCGCUGUGACCCCCUGGCGUGUCCUCCCCCCAGCUCAGCUGUCAGAGCUUCCAGUGCUCCGGGGAGAGGUGUUACCAGGAUGAGGCCCACAGCAACAUGACGACCACCUGCUACAAUGAGACCUUCUGCGAGCUUUAUCGUUUCUCCAGCAUGAACUACACCGCCAGAUGCAGCAGCGUGUGCAGUGCAGAGCUGUGCAGGACCAAUGGCAGCGUGACCCUACAGCAGUGCACCAUGGAGUGCUGCAACACCUCCCUCUGCCUGCAGCUCAAUGCAAGCUCCUAUGGUGAUCUUCCCCCCACCACCGUGCUGCCCACGACCACCAUCACCACCACCACCACCCCACGCCCCCCCCCACGAAAUGGGAAAAUCUGUGCAGCAUUCUCCUGCCAUGGGGAUGGAUGUUUCAAAGGCAAGAAGAGCACAGCUAGAUGCUUUGUUGGGCAUGAUUUCUGCGAGGUACGGCUGGGACAGGACAGGUGGGAUGUGCUGGAGUCUGCGUGCAUCCCCUCAAUGCAAAUGCCAGAGGCUGGGCAGGACCAGCAGGUCAAUCUGUCUCCUCCUUCCAGAUGAAGAAGACGGGCUUCAAUUACGUGGCAGGAUGCAGCAAAGCCUGCAAGGCUGCCAAGCCUGUCUGUGCCCGGGGGGUGAAGGCUGCCUGCUUCCAGGAGUGCUGCCCCGCCACCCCCAAGGGCAGCUGCUUAAAGCUGGAUGGCAAAGUUCAUGUGAAUGGUGCUGGGCAGGUGGCUGUGUCCUCGCUGCUGCAGCUCCUGGCAUGUGGGGCAGCCCUCCUCUUGAGCCAAAGGGCCUCCACUCCCCUCCAUGGGUAAGCAGCAGCCCUGCAGCCUUUCCCCUCCUUGAUUUCAGCUGAGGUCGCUAUCAAACACCCUCUGUUGCAUCCCCAUGCCAGGAGCGAGGUGCCCUGGAGCUCAUAGAUGGUGACUUCUCCCUCCAUGCAGGUGAUCCCCGCUACACAUCAAGCCUCUGUGCUGCAGGGAUGGCAGAUGCUGGAAGGAGAGACCUCAGGUGUAGGAGCGAGAGGAUGCUGAGCCAGCUCGGAACCCAGGAACCUCUGCCUUGACCCAAGGCACAGCUUACACAGUGUAGUUACAACGUGUUUGCACUGCAACUGUCUGAACACCCACUUAGUUUCUAAAUGAUACGUCCUGUCCCAGUAGGCUGUACUGUUUUGUCUCCAGGUCUUAGACAGGGCAAUGGGGCUGAGCUAAAAGCAUCGUGUUAGACCGUCCUGUUUCGUAUCUAUGAUUCUCUAUGGGUAAAUGUAGAGCAGAGACACGAGCGUGAGUCUGUAACAGGAGCUGGCUCCCAGCCAGACAGCUGGCAAUGGCUCUGUGGUGCCACUGUGCAAACACAUUCUGUCCUCUUCCUGCUCUCUUUUAAGAAAAUAAAAUAUAAUGACAAUAAUAGAGAAGCUUCAGUCCCUUGGGUUGAUGUCGGGCUGCUUUGGGCACAGCUCAGCUCCAGGGAUGUGGUGGGAAGGGGAUCCCAGCUGUAGGGCUGUGCUGGGACAGCAGCAGGAUGGCUUUGCUGGGAGCUCCGCACAGUGGAUGUGGGGCUGAGGGCAGGCAGUGUGCAGCCAUCAUUGGCCCUUCCACGCUGCAGUGCUGCUGCACCAAAGCCAUGGCACGGGCUGGGGGGUGCUGUCCCAUCAGUCUAUCGGCAGAAAAUGACAACGGGAUGGAACUCAAAGAUGUUUCUGUUUCAGAACCGACUCACGACACCACGUUUCUUGUAAGGAGGAGCGCUCUGGAGAUUGGAGCAGAUCUUUCUCACUGUUCUCCUUUCAUUUCCUCUUCGCAGUCUUUUAUCUGUUCUGAGAAGGGAGCAGAAAGCACAGACUGCUGCUUUUUCCAUAUCUGCUCGACUUUGCCGUUACUUCUACAGCAGCAGAAAGGGCUGACUCACACCGAGCUCCCCUGUUCGGCACGUCAGCGCCUGCUGACAUUUCCCAGCACCUGCUUACACCCUCCGCAGCAGUUAUUUGCAUAAUUAAAGCUCGGAAAUCAGCUGGGUCACGGCAUUUAACAAAACAUUCCAGGUCCUACCGCAAAAAGAGCCCCUCCUGAUGGCAGUAGGAAGUCAGCGGCUCUGCAUUGCCGCAGGCCCGGCUCUGUACACGCGGUACCCUCAGCUCGGGAACGCUCCGUGCCCCCCCCGACCGUACUCCGCUUCUGCUCAGCCCUUCCCGCUGCUCUCCCGGCUCUCCGCCCCAUUAACUCAGCAGCAUCCCGUUUAAAAAUCCUUCCCGGUCCCG
ensembl:lncRNA